rnacentral:rRNA from 1 species
UGGGGAAUAUUGGACAAUGGGCGCAAGCCUGAUCCAGCAAUACCGCGUGUGUGAAGAAGGCCUUAGGGUUGUAAAGCACUUUCAAUUGGGAGGAAAAAACAAGGGUCAAUACCCCUUGUCUUGACAUUACCUUUAGAAGAAGCACCGGCUAACUCCGUGCCAGCAGCCGCGGUAAUAUGGAGGGUGCAAGCGUUAAUCGGAAUUACUGGGCGUAAAGAGUGCGUAGGCGGCUCGUUAAGUCAGAUGUGAAAGCCCUGGCUCAACCUGGGAACUGCAUUUGAAACUGGCGAGCUAGAGUUGAGUAGAGGUAAGUGGAAUUUCAGGUGUAGCGGUGAAAUGCGUAGAUAUCUGAAGGAACACCAGUGGCGAAGGCGACUUACUGGACUCAAACUGACGCUGAGGUACGAAAGCGUGGGUAGCAAACAGG